rnacentral:lncRNA from 1 species
CCGCAGAUGGGUUGUCAAACAUAACCAACGAGACACCAACUUGAUACAUGCCUGCUGUCCCUAGUCGGCCAAAUAUCGUCAAUAAUAAUCGGUGGAGUGGUCAGCGAAAUGCUGAUCGAACAGGACUCAACAAUCUAAAUCAAAAGAAGCCGUAAUAGCUGAGUCAGCAUAGCACUUCUAAUCGGAUAGGGGACAAGAUGGCAAGCUACUGGGA